UUAUAAAAAAUAAUUAAAUUUAUUAGUUUAAAUUGUUAAAUUUAAAAAAAAAUAUUUAAAAAUUUUUUGUUUAAGUAAUAAAUUUGAAUAAAUUUAUUAAAUUAUAUUUAUAGUAAAGUAAUUGAAUUUUUAUUAAAUAAAAAAGUAAAUUUUAAAUAUUGUAUCUUUUGUAUCAGAGUUUAUUAAUUAAAAAAUUAAAAUUUAAUAUUUCUCGAAUUUUAAAGAUCUAAUUUUUAAUGUUAGUUAAUGUGGAAUAAUUAUUAAAAAUUAAAAAAUUAGUAGUGAAAAGUUAAACGGUUUAAAUGAUAUCUAGUUUUUUUAGAAUUGAAUUAAAUUCAGUAUUAAAUUUUUUUUUUAUUAUUUAUUAUAAUGAAAUAAUUUAAUAGAAAAUAUUUAAGGGAUAAACUAUAAAUAUAAAUAAUAAUUUAAAUAAGAUUUUUAAUAAAAAUAUUUAUAAUAAUAGAAAUUUUUAAUAAGUAUUUUAUAAUUUAUAAUUAUGAAGAAAAUAAUUUUAAUUUAAAUUUUAAAUUUUAUAAAAAAAAUAUUAAAUAAAUAUAAUUAUGGUAUAAUGAUAAAAUUAGUAAAAUAAAAUAUUUAUAAAUAAUAAUAAUAAAAAAUUAAUAUUAAAGAAUUAGACAAAAAUUUUAUUCACCUGUUUAUCAAAAACAUGGUCUAUAGAGUAUAAUUAUAGAUUAGUUCUGCCCAAUGAGGUUAAUUUAAAUGGCUGCAGUAUAUUGACUGUACAAAGGUAGCAAAAUCAAUUGUUUCUUAAUUAGAAACUGGAAUGAAAGAAUCAAUGAAAUAAAAAUUGUUUCAAUAUUAUAAAUUGAAUUUAAAAUUUAAGUUAAAAUGCUUAAAUAGAAUUAUUAGACGAGAAGACCCUAUAGAAUUUUAUAAAAUUUUAUAAUAAAAUUUUUUUUGUAAAUAAAUUUUUAUUAUAAAUUAUAUUUAAUUGGGAGGAUUAUAAAAUUUAAUUAACUUUUAUUAUUUUAAAAACAUAGAUAAAUGAAUUUUUGAUUAUUAUUAUAAUUAUAAGAAAAAAUUACCUUAGGGAUAACAGCGUAAUAUUUUUGGAGAGAUCAAAUUGAUAAAAAUGUUUGCGACCUCGAUGUUGAAUUAUGAUAUAAUUUAAGUGAAGAAAUUUAAAUUGUUAGUCUGUUCGACUAUUAAAAUCAUACAUGAUUUGAGUUCAGAUCGGUGUAAGCCAGAUCGGUUUCUAUCUAUAAUAUAUAAAAAUUUUUUUGUACGAAAGGACUAAAAAUUUAAAAUACUUUUUUUUGAAUAUUGAAUAAAAUUAAUAUUAUUAUAUAAAUAAAAUUUAUAUUUAGAUU
rnacentral:rRNA from 1 species